CAUGCCGGGGUAGAAGCAGGAUACACUGGCAUGGGAACCACUUGAAAGUGAGCACGGCUGAGCACGCCAUUAGUCCUAGCACUCGGGAGGCAGCGGCAGGUAGGUUCUCUGUGAGUUCUCGAGGCUAGCCUGGUCUACACAGUGAAUUCCCAAAGAACCAGGGCUAUGCAGAGAGAGCUUGUCGCAACAACAGAGAACCUCUUGGAGACAACAGCAGUGGGUUCCCAUAGUUCAUUUUCACAGCUAUGGCGUGCUUAUUUUAUCAAUGGCAAUCGUCAACCUGAUUCACUGAGGAUGUUCUGCACACCUUGCUUCGUCGUCCCCAGACCGGAGUAGAGGCCUCGUUAGCCUGGCCUUGGCCUCAUCCCAGCGCUGGAGCACAAUGCAGCCUCAGAGCACAGACCCUGCAGGUGCUUGUCUUCAUUUUGCUCACUGCUGGGUCCUCCGCAGCUAGCAGAGUCAAAACCAUGAGCAAGUCUUCUGAAAGCCGUGCGGACGGAAGCGUGAAGGCUAAUCACACCCUGGCUGUCCUGGAACUCGCUCUGUAGACCGUACUGGCCUUUGCUCUCAAGUGCUGGUAUUAAAGGAGGUGUUUGGUUUUUCACUGUUUCUCUGCCCGAGUCAGGGUCUCUCUAUGGAACCCCGGAUGCCCUGGAACCUCUCCAUGUAUAUCAGGCUGGCCUGAUAUUCAGAAAGACGCCUCUGCCUCCGCAAGAGCCACCACAUCCAGCUCCCUGUGGUCUUCUUAACCUCAGCCUUCCGUGUGCUGACUAAGGAUCCAGAUGGCAGUCACCUCACCGCACUGUUGUAUUCUUAAGACUGCUGUCCUGUCCACAUUACUGUUUGUCUUGGGGCUACUAUUGCUAUGAAGACCACUGUGGGAAGGAAAGGGUUUAUUUAGCUAACACUUCUACCUCAUAGUAUAUCACUGAGGGAAGUCGGGACAGGAAGUCAAACAGGGCAGGAGCCUGGAGGCAGGAGCUGAUGUGAAGGCCAUUAGCUCCUCAUGACUUGCUCAGCCUACUUUCUGACAGAAUCCAGGACCACCAUCCCAAGGGGUAGCCCCACUCACAAGGGGCUGGGCUCUCCCUCCUCAAUCACUAAUUGAGAAAAUGUCCUACAGCCGGAUCUUAUUGAGAUAUUUUCUCAGCUGAGGCUCCCUCUUCUCCAGUGACUCCAGUUUGUGUUGAGUUGACAUAAAACCAGCCAGCAAACUGUUCAUGAUCUGUCUUCCCCUAAGGUUUGUAGGAAGCCAAUGAUUAUGUUUUACUCCUGAGAUAAACUCAAUGCGAAGGACGGUGCACAGUA